CCGCUGGAGGACGACUAGCUGAUCUCCCACAUCCUCGCAGGGCUGGAUAUGGAGUAACAGCCGCUGGUCUCGGCGCUUGACACUCGCACCAUCCCGGUCAAGCUCGAUGAGCUAUUUGCUCAGAUGAGCAAUUUCUACC
rfam:Triticum aestivum genome assembly, contig: Triticum_aestivum_CS42_TGACv1_scaffold_542568_6DS